CCGUCCGCAGACGGCCCUCUGCGCUUCUUUUCCUUUGUGGCGUAGACGCUGCAUCGAGCUUUCUGCCUCAUUUCUCAACCUUUGCUUAUCCAUCGUCGGCCCUACGCACGCACCUUCAUAUUGAUGCCAUCACGACAGUCCCCGUCCUUCAAGACUUCUGGAACCUUCUACACACGCGUCAAGGUGUUCAUCGUCUGGCUUCGUGUGUCAGCGUGGGUGCACCUCUCUCGGUAGGCGUCUUUGCCUCCUGUCAUCGUAUUUUCGUGAGGGCAACGGGGCGCAGCAGCUACGCUGGCGCUCACCGCCCUCUCCCUCUUGCCAUACCUGCCCAACUUUCCCUGCGCAGCUCUUCACAUCGCGCGCACCUCCACCACCGUCGCUGCGUUUCGUGAGUGUGUCAUGACUCACGACACUGUCCUGCACACGUGACGCAACGAAAGAAGAAGCGGACAAAGCCCUGCCUUGGUUAGCAAUACUCAUACUUCGAUAUCUACAUCCACUCACGCGCGCACCGAGGUGGUCCAUCCGUCGGUACUGUGAGGGCGAUCGAGUCAACGCCGGCUUUGGUUCGGAACCUCUCCCUUUGUGCGGCAGAGGAUGUGUUCUUCUUGCCCUUCUUUUCUGCUGUUUAUCUGAUCUCCUUUGUCGUGCAUAUACAUACGUGUUGCUUCUCGGUUUGUGUUUGCUUGUUUCUUCGCUUCGCCGCUGCCGCCGCCACCGUCUCUCACUGUCUGUGCCUGUGUCUGUGUAUAUUACCUUUUCUGUUAGCGCCGCCGACUUCUCGUGCUUCCCUGUCGGGGCGCUUCUUCUUCGGCAGCUCGUUCUUCACGGGACAUUGGGAAGGAUACAUACUCCACGCCGUCUUGCCCGCUGAGCUGUCUAGGUCAAUCCUCUAUCCGCGGCGUAGCAGGCAGGCCCUCCCCCUCCCUUUCUCCUCUUUGUGUGUGUGCGUAUGGGCGUGUGGGUGCAGGCAUCUGUGUUCGUGCUCCUCGUUACGUCUUUUCUAUCUGUUUCUGUCUCUCUCGUUUUCCGCGUCUACCUCAGCGGCCCAUUCUUGUGGCGGCCUCCUUCUUUUUCUUUUUUUUUUCGCCUGCUUUUUCUUUUCUUGCGCGUGUGUGUGUGUGUGUGUGUUGCUGCGCUCCGUUUUGUGUCGUGCAGCUCGCCACGCGGCCGACUCGGCCGUUGUCGAGCAUUCGUUGUCCUCCCCCUUACUCUGUUUUCUUUUUUGACUCCUUUGGCUCUGGUGUGGAACGCCCACCACUCGUUUGGUGGUCCGUGUCUUUUCUCUGUCUCUCGCAGCCCCUAUACACAAGCUGACGUCCUCACAAGACACGUCCGUCCUUCACUACGUGUGUCACGUGUUGUUCACGGGUGCACUGUCGCUGCUGGUCUUCCCUCUCGCUCCCUCUCGCCUUGUCAUCUCUGGAACCUUUGUUUGCCAAGCUGAGAAUCACAAGUUAGUGGCGCUAACUCACCACCCCGUUUGUGGGCACACGGUCAGACACAUCCUCAGAGAGUUGCCCAGUAAGCGGAGAAGCGAAGCGGAAAUCGAAAAAAAAAACGGAUAGGAAAUUGGCGUGCUACUCGCGGCCAUGAGCCAUCCGAGUUUACCAAGCACGCGGCGGAUGACCCGGGAGCGUGCUGAUGCUUCAGUGCGCACACCCUCCAUUGGCCACGGAGGUGCCGCGCCCGUGUUGGUUUUCGACGUUCCACAGGUGCGCGAGAGCUGUGUGAAGCAACGCCACUACGGCACGAUGCUGGACAGCAGCAACGUUAUGGUGCGGUCCUCCUCGAUGCCCGAGCGCUCCUCGCGUAUGGUGUACGUUCGCAAACAUUCACGGCAGCUUACCGUUGGCCAGCAAUCGGCUCGACUCGCCGAGAAAGCGAAGAGGAACUACUUCCACGGUAGCUUCACCUCGGCGCACGGGUCCGUCUUCACCGUACCCAACAAAGCGCAGCAGAUGGCAACGAAUCGGCCGUCGCGUGCGCCGCUAAUGGCGUAUUCGUCGGUGUCUCGAAGCACGCUGGCUGCACGACGGCGACCAACCCCUAUCUCUCUUGACGUCUCCCCAGCCGUGUCGGCCAUCAAGAAGACCGCCGCAUCCCCCAUAAAAGCUGGUUCGAGUUCGCAUGAGGGCAAUGACACGGACACAUCGUUGACGAUAAGGGAGCCGAACUUCCUAGACGGGUCGAUUGUUCUGCCGCGUCGUGCUGUGAGCGCAGACGCCCGCCUUGGCGGGCAUCACAGCUUGGACAUGAGUACCUCCAUCAGCAAGUUGCGGCUUUCCAUCAGUGGUGCCGACCUAUCGGCGUCGCAGCUGAGCGAGAUGACGUUCCGUGACUCGUCGCCAGACUUCUUGGCGGUGCAGCUCAUGCGCGAUCACAGCGCCAAACAGAAGCAGAAGCAGUUGCUGUCCCCCACGACGAUCUCGCGCGCCGUGCGAGCGUUGCGCGCCUUCGAGGAACGAAAAAUGCGCUUUGGGGGCGGCGCCCACUCAAAUGCGCGAGACGUCAAUAACGCCGACGAUGUUGUUUCCGCUCUCGACCGCACACCGUCGGCGCAGGCAGUGAAGAAGAACGAGACGCCACUCAUACCGGCAGUAGCGCGUUGUGUGCGCAUCAAACCCGAUGCGGAGGGGAAUGUGGCCGAGGAGGCUAUCGCCGGUUUCGAAGAGGACGAGGAUGAGAGCUUCGAGUCUGGGGACAGCUUCUCCUGGUUUGGUGCAACGAUGGACCUCCUCUACCUUGCCGUGCCAGCAGCUGUAUCUAUUUGCUUCACUUUCUCGAUGUCCGUUGUGCCGCUGUCCUUCGUCGGUAGGUACCUUGGUCCACGUCAGCUCACCGGCGCGUCGGUGGGCUACUUUCUCCUUAGCAUCCUGAUCACCUACCCGACAAUUGGGCUGACCUUUGCGCUCGACACGCUGUGCUCGCACGAGUACGGGCGAAACCCGUUGAGCCCUGAGAUGGGGCUGGUGCUGCAGCGCGGAGCUCUCAUCAACCUCAUCAUUUUGAUCCCGCUCUGCGUCUGUAUCUACACCCUCGACAGCAUUCUUGUGCCUCUCUACGGCAAGGUACUGGCGGAGGAGGCGGAGGAGUUUCUCCUCUACUCCCCGCUCUAUCUCAUUCCGAUGGUGCUGUUCAUUUCCAUGAACAAAUUCCUCAACAACCAGAUGCAGCCCCACAUUCCGAUGAUCGCGCUGACUGCCGGCGUCAUUCUUACGCCGUUUCUGCAGCUAAAGCUGACGCCGAUGGGGGUGCGCUACACAAUGCUCGGGAUGGCCAUCACGGCGUGGUUUCAGCUGGCGAUUGUAACGGUUAUCACCGUCUUCAAACGUGAGACGCGCAUCACGCUAGGGAAGUGGCGCAUCGCAGAAGCGCUGGACUGGACAGACGUCAAGGAGUACAUGAAGCUAGCCGUCCCCAGCGCCAUCUUUGUGGCCGCCGAAGCGUCGUCUUUCGACGUCACGGUGCUCAUGUGUGCCCGCUUCGGUGAGGUAGACGGUGCUGCCUGGUCCGGCAUUAUGAACUGCCUCUUCAUCUUCGCCUCCUUUCCGGGUGGCCUCAGCGCCAGUGCAUGUGCCAACAUUGGCCGCUGCAUCGGUGCCUACGAGCCGGCCAGCGCGAAGCGUUUUGUGCGUGUUUCGAUCCUCAUCACUUUUGUUGUCGGCCUUGUCGACUCCGCGCUGUUGGUGGCCUUCUUUGACCGGCUCAUGUCGUUCUUCGGCACCGAAGGCACGACGCUAGAGCUGGCGCGCGAGGUGCUCUACCUCCUUCCCAUCCUCCACGUGUGCGACGCAGUGCAGUUCACCUUUCAGGGCAUCUUCAGCGGCAUGGGGAAAAACUACAUCGGCGCAUUGAUUCUCCUGACGAGCCUGUGGGGGGUUGGUGUCCCGCUUGCUUUCCUUCUCGGUGAAUACCUCGGCUACCGCACGUUCGGCGUCUGUGUGGGUAUCACGAUUGGCUUGUGCAUCGAGGCGCCCGUGAUGGUGUACUCGGCGUCCACGACGAACUACGUAGCCGUGUGCGAGAAAUUCAUGGAGGACGAAGAGGACGAAGAGACAGGGGAGUCGGAGGAGAGCGAAGAGUACGACGACGAGUACGUCGAGGAGGUGAUGCGGCGCUCUGGCAUAUCCAUUAACAGUGCGGAGCUGACGGAGGGCAACCCAGAGCACUAUCGCAAGCUUCUGCCGCCCCGUCGCUGUGGCCGUCCGCGGCGGGUUGUAGAGUACCAGGACGAGGACGACUAACCAUGCCAACGAGCGCCGUGACGGGUCAAAUCGGCAGCGCCAACACCUCACCCCCGCAGCUCUCCUUCGCCCCUGUGCAUUUUGGGUACCCUCUCUUUCAUCCGAGCAGUGCCUACGAAGCCUUGUUUUGAACUUGUCGAGGUAUCCCGUUGUUUUGCCUUUCUCUCGUUCACGCUUGGAGGGCAGGCGGGUUGGCGCAGCGGAGUCGCCCUCUCUGUUGAGGCGACGGAGAGUUGUUUUUGCAUGGAAAGGGGAAGGGGAAGGGGGAGAAUGAUGCGCCGCUCGUGCGUGCAUGAGCGUGCGUGCGCCAAGCUUGCCGCUCGAUGUGGUUGGCAUUACGGUGUGCGCUUGUGUGCUGGGGUCGUCGAUGCCGUGUCUUCACGUGGUGUCUUCGUAUUUCUCUUCGGCUUCUUUGCGUGGGUUCCUCCCGUCAUGUGCUGCGUGGAUGAGCGCGUGCGUUUCUGCGCUACGUAGCUCUUGGUGGGGUUUUUCUUUUUUGGGGGGAGGGGGAGGUCCUCUUGUAUAGGGGUGAGUGCGCGUGCAGUUGAGGGGGGCGCCUUACUCGUCGAAUGCGGCGUUGCCGCGUGCCCAGUUGAAUGAGCUUCUUUCUCUCGCCGGUUGCUCCUCACGUGCUUGCUCACUUACGGUCCUUCUCUCUAACACUUGUGAAGGGGAAAGGAGCCUCUGUGUAUGUGUGUGUCGUGCAUUUGGGCCUCGCUGGUCGGUGUUGCGGGCUCUUGCUUCGCGCAGGUAUGUGUAACGGCGCGUGUCUGCCGUCCGCUCUGGCUGUGCGUACGAAACGUGUCCAGUGCACAUCCUUUUUUUUUUGGAUAGGGGGUGGUUGGAAGUAGGCGGCAUCAUCGCUCCGUCUUUGGCAUUCCCAUUGAAAAAAUUGUGCUCCUCCUCCUCCAUCAUGAUGUCCGUCUGCGCAAGCGUAGACGUGCGAGGUGGCGUCUUCGCUCUCUAAGAAAGAAGAGCACCGAGCACACAGGGGCAACGUGAACAACCAAUAAGACAGCUGGAUGAGCCUCUCACUCGACGCCCAAGGAAAAACGCUUCACACACACACACACACACACACACAUGGGUGAGGGUGGAGGCGGAGUAGCACAGAAACCAACGCAAAAGGAAAAUCCAUGACCACAGGUGCACAACGCGCAACGCAAGGAGUUGUCUGGCCUGCCUUGAGGAGGUCCAUAGCGCUAUGC
rnacentral:misc_RNA from 1 species